AAAUCUUACUGUGUAAGUGCUUGGAGGGCCAGAGAAUCAUGUGAAAAUUGGUACAUUGAGAAAGGAUAUUGCAGGAAUUUUCCUCCAACUUGGUUCUUUAAUUUCACAUAGGCCUAAAUUGCACCUGGAUCUUGGCAGCCAGACAGCUGGACAGAAAAUUACUGAUACAAUUUUAACACCUCAGUGUUUGACAGAGGAUAUUGCUGGCCCAAAGGAUGAAUUUCUUAAUUAUAUUAAAAGAAAACUUCAAAAUGCUUGUUUGUUUA
rnacentral:lncRNA from 12 species